rnacentral:lncRNA from 1 species
GUCUCUUAAAGGGAGGAGAGAAAAAUCAAUCCUUUUCAAUUCUUACUAUCCAGGCUACAUAUGUGGUGCAACUGGUCUCCAGAGCCGCCCGCUCCCACAGCAUAUCCAGUGGUUCCAGUGCCGAGCUGGAACCAGAGGAUGACGUGGAAACCAGAUCAAAAGGGAACCUGAGGUACUACAAAGACCUCUGUGGCACCAAAGGGAAUAAAAAAGAAGAAAGAACUCCUUGCAUGGUCUUCCUACGAUUAAAGAUUGGAAAUACACAAAACUGAGCACAAACAGGACUGGGCCAGCCAAACAGUCACAUACCUGAAACCCAGGAGAGAGAGAGGCAACAUUUGGAGAGUGGAGGAGGAGCUGCAGUAGAGAAGAAAGUGCC